GGAAAAUAAGAUUUAGUGGUAGAGCUCCUGCUUUGCAUGCAGAGGGUCCCAGGUUAAAUCUCUGGAAUCUCCA